AACGAACGCUGGCGGCAGGCUUAACACAUGCAAGUCGAACGCCCCGCAAGGGGAGUGGCAGCCGGGUGGGUAACGCGUGGGAAUCUACCCAUCCCUACGGAAUAACGCAUGGAAACGUGUGCUAAUACCGUAUACGCCCUACGGGGGAAAGAUUUAUCGGGGAUGGAUGAGCCCGCGUUGGAUUAGCUAGUUGGGGGGGUAAAGGCCUACCAAGGCGACGAUCCAUAGCUGGUCUGAGAGGAUGAUCAGCCACAUUGGGACUGAGACACGGCCCAAACUCCUACGGGAGGCAGCAGUGGGGAAUAUUGGACAAUGGGCGCAAGCCUGAUCCAGCCAUGCCGCGUGAGUGAUGAAGGCCUUAGGGUUGUAAAGCUCUUUCACCGGAGAAGAUAAUGACGGUAUCCGGAGAAGAAGCCCCGGCUAACUUCGUG
rnacentral:rRNA from 1 species